GCUCCCCUUUGUCAAUGAGAUUAGCUGUUUUAAACAGUUAAUAGUACUGCUUUGACUUUCCUAGUUUUCUUCAUUGAAAUUAAUUCCAUGGGGGGUGGUUUUAGUUUUUGUCAAACUAUAUAUGCAAGUUAAUCCAAAAACCCUUUGCAAGGUAGCCGUGACCCUAUAUGGGAAGGCAAGUGUCCAACUGUUCCAAGUCAGGUAGCCGUGACCCUAUAUGGGAAGGCAAGUGUCCAACUGUUCCAAGUCAGUGAGAAGGC
rnacentral:lncRNA from 1 species